UACGGAGGGUGCAAGCGUUGUCCGGAAUCACUGGGCGUAAAGGGCGCGUAGGCGGCUCAUGAAGGCUGUGGUGAAAGUCCGGGGCUCAACCUCGGAUCGGCCGUGGCGACUCGUGGGCUGGAGCACUGUAGAGGCAGGUGGAAUUCCGGGUGUAGCGGUGGAAUGCGUAGAGAUCCGGAAGAACACCAGUGGCGAAGGCGGCCCGCUGGGCAGUGGCUGACGCUGAGGCGCGACAGCGUGGGGAGCAAACAGG
rnacentral:rRNA from 1 species